rnacentral:rRNA from 1 species
AUAAUUACAAUCUUAUUUAUUAUUUAUUUUUUUUUGUUUUGAGAAAUAUCUUUUUAUUUAGUAUAUUAUAGAAAAAUUGUUUACAUUAUAGUUUAAUAGUACUGUGAAGGAAUGGAUGAAAUAUUUAAAAAUUUAUUUUAGUAAAAGAAUACUUUACUUGUAGUACCUUUUGUAUCAGGGUUAAUUUAUUAAUUUGAAUUUAUAUUUUUUUCUCGAUUUCAAAAGAGCUAAUUUAUUAUUUUAUUUAUUGUAGCAUAAAUAUUAAUAAUAUAAUUUAGAAAAGAAAUUUUAUUCGAUUUUGAGGGUAUCGAGUUUUUUAUGAAAUGAAUUUAAUUUAGCUUAUUUAAUUAAGGUUUUAUUAAUUUAUUACUUAUUUAAAUAAAGUAAAAUUGUAGGGGAUAAGCUCUAUAUUUUUCUAUAAUUUUUUUAUUAAGAAAAUUAUGUUGGAUUAAUAUUGUCCAUCAUUAAUAAGUUUUUUAUAAUUUAUUUUUUACAUUAUUAAAUUUUGUGAUUUUUAGAUUUUUAAUGAAAUAUUUUAAUUAAUUUAUUACUGAAAGUAAUAAUGAUUAAAUUAGUAUAAUUUUAUGUAUUAUAUUUUAAUACUGUAAUGAUAAAAUAAGGAACUCGGCAAAUAAAGUUCUCGCCUGUUUAACAAAAACAUGUCCUUUUGAAUUUAAUUGAAGGUCUGACCUGCCCAGUGAUUAAUUUAACGGCCGCGGUAUAUUGACCGUGCAAAGGUAGCAUAAUCAUUAGUCUUUUAAUAGAGGGCUGGAAUGAAUGGUUUGACGAAGAAUUGACUGUCUCAUUUUAUUUGUUUUAAAAUUUAAUUUUUUAGUUAAAAAGCUAAAAUAAUAUUGGAAGACGAGAAGACCCUAUAGAUCUUUAUACAUUUUGUUUUAUUUACUUAUAUAAAUUUAUUUAAUUUAAAAUGUAUUUUGUUGGGGUGACAAAAAUAUAUGCAAAACUUUUUUAUUUAUAUAACAUUGAUUUAUGAUUAGACGAUCCAUUAUUAUUGAUUAAUAGAUUAAGUUACCUUAGGGAUAACAGCGUAAUCCUCUUCCAGAGUUCAUAUUUACAAGAGGGCUUGCGACCUCGAUGUUGGAUUAAGAUAAUAGUUAGGUGCAGCCACUUAAUUUAUAGGUCUGUUCGACCUUUA